AUACACACAGUCUUCUCCGUCAUCAACAGGAGGCUUCAUCCAGGGCGAGAGGAAGAAGCACCCCCCUCUGUUCUCACAUUUUCCACUUAACUUGUUUUGGUCUUCUUUGAUCUCCGUAAGAAGAGAUCUCUUCCAUCUUUUACAUCCCACCUCGGGUUAUUCUUGUCCUUUGUGACCGAAGGUGGAUGUAUGUGGCUGCCCUGGCCGCCAGGGUCCCUGUAGCCAAGUGGGUGGGAAGCUUCUGGCAGGCAGAGGUUGUGCGGCCGUUCCUGGUUAGACAGGGCGGAGUGUUGGGGGCCGGGGCGGGGCGGGGCGGGGCGGGGCGCUGUGCUAGUGGCUCCGCCCCCGGCUGGGACCUUUCGUUUCCACCCGGAGAAAGUCCGUGACGCGCGGGGUGACGUAUUCGUACGCGGUGACGUCAGGAGGCGGCUCCAGCCCGGCUGCGCGGUGGGAUUCUGCUGACUGGCCCGGCUACUUGAGACCAUGGGUGCUCAGUUGAGUGGCGGCCCAGGCACCCUUGAGCCAACGCAGCCGGAGCCCUUGGUGCCAGCGCCCCCGGAGCAGCCCCAGCCCCAACCCCAGCCCCAACCGGAGCCCGAGCCCAGCCCUUGGGGGCCGCUGGAAGACGUGCGCUUCCUCAUCGCCUGCACCUCCUGGUACUGACUCUGCCGCCCCAGCCUUCUUGCAGCUUUGGGCGGGCUGGCCUCUUUUCUCCCUCGGCCCCGUGUCUCUUCCGAUCCCCGCAGAUGGGCAGAGAACCCGAAGAGGUCGGCCGGGGCCUGUGGGCACCAGUCAUCCGAUCCCCAACUUGUUUGCCUGCCGGCCAGCAGCCAACCCAGCGCUGACCUUUGUGUUCACCCCCUGCCCUCUCCAGCUGUCGGGGGCCAGCCCUCCCCGAACCAGAACCAGGCCAGGCCCUCUGACUUGACCACCUGAGGAAACACCUAAGUGAUACCUACAGAUGAGUGAGAAAUGCUAUCUGAAGGGAUGUAGUCAGUCCGAGAAAACUCUCAGCUGUGAAUCAUCCCUGUAGAUGAAACUGGUGCCCUGGUAGCUGGUCCCAAAUAAAAAGAUCUGGCACACCAGCACCAUCAUACGUACAUGCUAGACUGUGUACAUCAGCGCUGUCCGAUAGGCUGAUCCAUGAUGAUGAAAAUGUCCUGUAUCUGCAGUGUCCAACACGGUAGCCUCCAACCACAGGCCUGUGUGGCCAUGGAGCUGUUGAAGGGUGAAUUAUACCAUGGCAGGGUCAGUCUGACACAACCAGAAACUAUUUGACCUUAAAACAUCACUAAAAGUGGGACAGUGUGUGUGCAUCAUAUGUGCUCCCCAAGAUGGUCUGCCUCGGCACAGUUAGACCACCUCCUCAGAGAUCUGACUGAUCAGGGUUCUGGGCCUGGUGUGUCAUGUCGCAUACUGCCAGAGACCACAGUUCCCAUCCUCUUGGGUUCCUUGGUUCUCGGACAAGAAGCGCUACAAAGCAGGAAUCUCAUCUAUGGUGUCCACCAAGCUCUUCUCAGGGCUUCUUUCCCUGAUAGCUGAGCAACCCAGGACUGACCCCUCCAGCCCCGUGUGGCCUUACCGUCAUGGUUGGCGUUUCCUAGCGUCCAUGGCUCAUCUGAGUCAAACUCUUUAAGGUUACUAUAUCCAUAUUGCAUGGUUCUCCACAAAAGAACAUCAGAACCUGUGGAUGCGCUGCCCCAUAAAUGGCUGGGGCAUGGAUUCUUCACCAGUUCCAUAAGCAAGGAAGCACAGCCCCGGAGAAAUGCUGUCGAUUAACCUCCAGAAAACACAACUCUGAUUGGCUCACUUGCCUGCUGUCAACUUUUCGCUGGCUCUCCACUGGCUACAGAAUAAAGAUAAAUUUUCGUUCAAAGGUUUCCCCUCCCCUGCUUCUUUAUUCAUUGAUUCAGUACUUUCCACUGAUAUAAAACCAACAGGCCAGAACCUGAAAAUAGUUAAUUCUCCGAAGGAGAGUGAUCUGUGGAAAUGUGUCCACCAGAAAUUCAUAGUGUCUAAAAUUAGAGUCUGACAAAGCAUCACGUUUGAGAAUGUCUGUUGGGAGGAGGUUGUAUACAUUUUUAUUGCUAAACUAUUUCCCCUCAAAAGCAAGCCAUUAUAAUAAAUAUAAACAAACAA